AGCACAUUUAACUUCAUUCCAAAAGUCAAAGUGAGAGCGUAAACAUCGAAAGAAAGAUUACAAAAUUUACAACAAAUUCUUCAAGCAUACAACAUUUGGUUGAUUCUGUGUAAAAUGGCGCUCAACGUUAGCCCUGAGGCGGUGACCAAAGUUAUUAAUGCAAUUAACCUUAGAGUUAAACAAAUUGAUGCUCAGUUGGAUAAUGCCGAUUUCGAAACAUGCGUAGAGCUUGGCAUCGAAGUGGAACAUCUGCAUGAUCUAAUAAAGUUUUUUCUUCCCUUUCUUGAAGAAUAGCGAGAGCCCCACACACACGUUCCACAUGAACAUGAAAAAUAAACAAAAACAGACGUCACAAGCGGACAAGAUGCACAAAGAAGACAGCACAAGGAGGGCAGGCACAACCACUGUCUAACUGUAAGUAACUGUAACUUUAUGGCAAAUGAGUUGUCAAAUCAUACAGCAGUUUAUUCCUUCAGAUGGGCUGAUCAACAACACGAUUAAACAACCAAACAAAGACAUUUGUUGUGUUGCAGUUUCUCGUUUAAGUUUUUGAAGUUAUUGUAAAUACCCACUACAAUUAAAUACAUACAAAAAUGAC
rnacentral:lncRNA from 1 species